rnacentral:pre_miRNA from 1 species
AGGCGAACAGUGUGCAAUUCGAGUUGAUUAUUUGCAACUCAUUGCGAUUUUGUUCGGCUCA